AACGAACGCUGGCGGCAUGCCUAACACAUGCGAGUCGAACGAGACCUUCGGGUCUAGUGGCGCACGGGUGCGUAACGCGUGGGAACCUGCCCUUAGGUUCGGAAUAACUCCCCGAAAGGGGUGCUAAUACCGGAUAAUGUCUUCGGACCAAAGAUUUAUCGCCUUUGGAUGGGCCCGCGUUGGAUUAGCUAGUUGGUAGGGUAAAAGCCUACCAAGGCGACGAUCCAUAGCUGGUCUGAGAGGAUGAUCAGCCACACUGGGACUGAGACACGGCCCAGACUCCUACGGGAGGCAGCAGUGGGGAAUAUUGGACAAUGGGCGAAAGCCUGAUCCAGCAAUGCCGCGUGAGUGAUGAAGGCCUUAGAGUUGUAAAGCUCUUUUACCCGGGAUGAUAAUGACAGUACCGGGAGAAUAAGCUCCGGCUAACUCCGUG
rnacentral:rRNA from 1 species